GUGAAUGAUGAAACAUGCACUGUUCUCUGAGAAGUUUUAACCGCAACUUUUGAUGGAAAUACACAGCCUUGAAAUCUUUUUCUGAUAC
rfam:Phaseolus vulgaris cultivar G19833 chromosome 4, whole genome shotgun sequence.